CCCUCCCUCCUCCUCCCAGGUGCUAUCCAUGCCCCUCCCUCCUCCUCCCAGGUGCCAUCCAUGCCCCUUGUAGCCAGGACACAUCUGCAGCCGCCUUCCUACAGUGACUUCUCCAGAAGAUCACUUUCAUCCUCAGCCCCCAAGGUAUCAACUGUUGAUCAUCAUACACUCCGCCCACGUGAUCCCUCAGGACACACCCCACAUCCUCACAGUGCGAAGCAUAUUUCACACCGUUUCACUUAGACCUUACAAAGACUCCACAUCACAGACUGUGGAAGAGUUGCCCCAUCCCUGAAUAUGUUGAUUCAUUUACCAAAAUCCUCUCUACAGUAAAGCAGAAUAUUGGUGAGGGGAAACCCAUCUCUGAAAGACACCGAGGGCAACUGAUUUCCUCCCCACUUGCUUCAAGGCUUUGAUAACUGGGACCCAUCCACGUUAAACCAUGCCCCAAGUGUAAAAUCUAUCCCAGAUUUUAGAGAAUGAAAAAAUCUCAAUGCUUUUCAGUACUGAUCAUAUUUGCUAAUAGUAGUUUGGCUAUAUGGGGUUAAGAAAAUGUUUAUUUGGGGAGUGGGUCGAAGGUGUGUGUGUGUAUCUUGUGUGUAUCUUGUUGCCUAUGUGUCCUGUAUUUGCACAUGUGUGUGGAGGCCUGAGGUCGACAUCAGGUUUAUUCAAUUGCUCUCCAUUUUAUUUUUCAUCACUGAACUGCCUGGUCUACCUGACAUGGGAAGUCCCUGGGGUCCUUCUGCUUCCAGUUCCCAACUGCUGGGAUUACAGGGACACAAAACCUAACACAGUUCUGCACAGUUGCUCAACUCCUCCUGCGCACAGCUCCAUGCUUGUAGCCAUGACGGACAGUGUCUCCAUCUGCUUCCCUGCCACGCCACACUGCAAAGCCGGGAUGAAACACCUUGAACUUCCAGAAGGGGCACAUGUUCCAGGAACCCUUCCCACUCCUCAAGCACUUAAAAACAAAACACACUGUCUUUUCACAAGAAUGUUUCUGAGAAUGAAGCUCAUUGGGUAACAAAUCCAUGAGAAGUAACCAAGAAGGUGAAGGCAUACGCAAGGCAAAACUUCA